rnacentral:rRNA from 1 species
AGGCCCUUCGGGGUACUCGAGCGGCGAACGGGUGAGUAACACGUGAGUAAUCUGCCCCUGGCUUUGGGAUAGCCACCGGAAACGGUGAUUAAUACCGGAUAUGACCACUUGACGCAUGUCGUGUGGUGGAAAGUUUUUCGGCCAGGGAUGUGCUCGCGGCCUAUCAGCUAGAUGGUGAGGUAAUGGCUCACCAUGGCUUCGACGGGUAGCCGGCCUGAGAGGGUGACCGGCCACACUGGGACUGAGACACGGCCCAGACUCCUACGGGAGGCAGCAGUGGGGAAUAUUGGACAAUGGGCGGAAGCCUGAUCCAGCAACGCCGCGUGAGGGAUGACGGCCUUCGGGUUGUAAACCUCUUUCAGUACCGACGAAGCGCAAGUGACGGUAGGUACAGAAGAAGCACCGGCCAACUACGUGCCAGCAGCCGCGGUAAUACGUAGGGUGCGAGCGUUGUCCGGAAUUAUUGGGCGUAAAGGGCUCGUAGGCGGUUUGUCGCGUCGGGAGUGAAAACCAGGUGCUUAACACCUGGCUUGCUUUCGAUACGGGCAGACUAGNAGGUAUUCAGGGGAGAACGGAAUUCCUGGUGUAGCGGUGAAAUGCGCAGAUAUCAGGAGGAACACCGGUGGCGAANGGCGGNUUCUCUGGGAAUAUCCUGACGCUGAGGAGCGAAAGUGUGGGGAGCGAACAGGAUUAGAUACCCUGGUAGUCCACACCGUAAACGUUGGGCGCUAGGUGUGGGGGUCCAUUCCACGGAUUCCGUGCCGCAGCUAACGCAUUAAGCGCCCCGCCUGGGGAGUACGGCCGCAAGGCUAAAACUCAANGGAAUUGACGGGGGCCCGCACAAGCGGCGGAGCAUGCGGAUUAAUUCGAUGCANCGCGNAGAACCUUACCUGGGUUUGACAUACACCCUGCNGCUNCAGAGAUGGGGCUUCNUUUGGGGGUGUACAGGUGGUGCAUGGCUGUCNUCAGCUCGUGUCGUGAGAUGUUGGGUUAAGUCCCGCAACGAGCGCAACCCUCGUUCUAUGUUGCCAGCACGUAAUGGUGGGGACUCAUAGGAGACUGCCGGGGUCAACUCGGAGGAAGGUGGGGAUGACGUCAAGUCAUCAUGCCCCUUAUGUCCAGGGCUUCACGCAUGCUACAAUGGCCGGUACAAAGGGCUGCGAUCCCGUAAGGGGGAGCGAAUCCCAAAAAGCCGGUCUCAGUUCGGAUUGGGGUCUGCAACUCGACCCCAUGAAGUCGGAGUCGCUAGUAAUCGCAGAUCAGCAACGCUGCGGUGAAUACGUUCCCGGGCCUUGUACACACCGCCCGUCACGUCACGAAAGUCGGCAACACCCGAAG